GGAGGUGUCGCAUAGUGGCCUAGUGCGCCCGCCUGCUAAGCGGGUUUGGGGUGAUACCCCAUCGAGAGUUCGAAUCUCUCCACCUCCG
rnacentral:tRNA from 1 species